rnacentral:rRNA from 1 species
CUACGGGUGGCUGCAGUGGGGAAUAUUGGACAAUGGGCGAAAGCCUGAUCCAGCCAUGCCGCGUGUGUGAAGAAGGCCUUCGGGUUGUAAAGCACUUUCAGUGGGGAAGAAAGCCUUGGGGCUAAUACCCUCGAGGAAGGACAUCACCCACAGAAGAAGCACCGGCUAACUCCGUGCCAGCAGCCGCGGUAAUACGGAGGGUGCGAGCGUUAAUCGGAAUUACUGGGCGUAAAGCGCGCGUAGGCGGUCUGAUAAGCCGGUUGUGAAAGCCCCGGGCUCAACCUGGGAACGGCAUCCGGAACUGUCAGGCUAGAGUGCAGGAGAGGAAGGUAGAAUUCCCGGUGUAGCGGGGAAAUGCGUAGAGAUCGGGAGGAAUACCAGUGGCGAAGGCGGCCUUCUGGACUGACACUGACGCUGAGGUGCGAAAGCGUGGGUAGCAAACAGGAUUAGAUACCCGUGUAGUC